rnacentral:rRNA from 1 species
CGCCAGACUCCUACGGGAGGCAGCAGUGGGGGAUAUUGCACAAUGGGGGAAACCCUGAUGCAGCGACGCCGCGUGGGUGAAGAAGCGCCUCGGCGCGUAAAGCCCUGUCAGCAGGGAAGAAAAUGACGGUACCUGAAGAAGAAGCCCCGGCUAACUACGUGCCAGCAGCCGCGGUAAUACGUAGGGGGCAAGCGUUAUCCGGAUUUACUGGGUGUAAAGGGAGCGUAGACGGAAAGGCAAGUCAGAAGUGAAAACCCAAGGCUCAACCAUGGGACUGCUUUUGAAACUGUCAAACUAGAGUACGGGAGAGGUAAGAGGAAUUCCUAGUGUAGCGGUGAAAUGCGUAGAUAUUAGGAGGAACACCAGUGGCGAAGGCGUCUUACUGGACCGAAACUGACGUUGAGGCUCGAAAGCGUGGGGAGCAAACAGGAUUAGAUACCCGAGUA